UAAUACAGAGGGUGCGAGCGUUGUCCGGAAUCACUGGGCGUAAAGGGCGCGUAGGCGGUUGGGCAAGCGUGUGGUGAAAGCCCGGGGCUCAACCCCGGGUCGGCCAUGCGAACUGCCCGACUGGAGCACGGUAGAGGCCAAUGGAAUUCCGGGUGUAGCGGUGGAAUGCGUAGAGAUCCGGAAGAACACCGGUGGCGAAGGCGGUUGGCUGGGCCGUGGCUGACGCUGAGGCGCGACAGCGUGGGGAGCAAACAGGAUUAGAUACCCUGGUAGUCCACGCCGUAAACGAUGGGCACUAGGUCCUUGGGGGAGCGACCCCGUGAGGGCCGGCGCUAACGCAUUAAGUGCCCCGCCUGGGGAGUACGGCCGCAAGGCUG
rnacentral:rRNA from 1 species